rnacentral:lncRNA from 1 species
CUCUCCUCCCCGCACUGCCGCAGGGCGAUGCCCGCUGCCUCCCCCCGCCCGCGCCCCCCGCCCGUACCUCUCUCCGUGCCCGGGGAGCGGCCGCUCGCCCCCGUUUUCAGGUUUUCCCCUCCCGGUGCCCGCAGCUCGCGGUGCUACGCCUCAUUCCUCGGCGAACGUCGCCAAUAGCGGCGGUGGCGGCUCGCUGGCAUCCACCGGCACUUAAUAUUCCUGCCCCAUUGGAUCUGCUGAUAAAUCUCAACUCUGACGUCAAAGUCUUCACUUAUAUUCAUGAUCCAGCGCUGUGAAUCAGAGCCGCUGUGCUCGGAAUAACAACGAGGCCGGGCCGCUCCGCAGAGCACGCGGCGCGGGGGCUCUGCACCCGCCUCCCCCCCGGCCCCCUCCCCCGGCCCAAGGUCGGGGCCGCCGCCGCUGUUUGUGCCGCCGGAGCUUGGGGGGGUGGGGGCUGAGCCGGUGCGGUGCGGUCCGGGCCCCCCCGCAGGGACAGAACUCCCAAAGGCACCGCGGUUGUUCCGGCUCCGUCAUUCACAAAGGGACGCGGAUCUCCCGAGCGCGGACGCUGCUCUCCCGCAUGCGGGGGCGUCUCGGAGACCUCUCCCCCCCACGCACCCCGCGCCGGUUUCGUAACGCCCCCGGUCCGCAACCUCAGCUGCAGCCCGGCCGGGCUCUGCGGGGUGCGGGACGAGGCCGGGGCUGGGGGACCCCGCGGGGGUCACGCGGUGCGGGUCUCGCAGUGGGGGAGGGCCGGGUGGGGGCCCCGAGCAGCCCCCGCAGCGGGCAGGAAUCUCACCCCAAACCCCGCAGUGCUCGGACGCGGCCUCCUGGUCCCUCCGUCAGCUCCUCCUGCGCUCUCACCUGCAGGGAUCACCCCGUGCAGGUUUCAUGCAUGAAAACACAGCGGCCAGGAUCAGCCAGCCUACCAGCAGAGAGAGAAGCUAAGGAGAGAGUGACUAAGCAAUUACUUUUGUUUCUGCCUUGGGUUGCAAUUCAAGGAAAAGCAUUUGUGUCGUGUGCGUUUGAUCAUACAUGA